UCUGGUGACAAUGGCAAGGAGGUCACACCUGUUCCCAUGCCGAACACAGAAGUUAAGCUCCUUAGCGCCGAUGGUAGUCGGACUGACGUUCCGCUA
rnacentral:rRNA from 1 species